AGACCCGAAACCCGGUGAUCUAGCCAUGGGCAGGUUGAAGGUUGGGUAACACUAACUGGAGGACCGAACCGACUAAUGUUGAAAAAUUAGCGGAUGACCUGUGGCUGGGGGUGAAAGGCCAAUCAAACCGGGAGAUAGCUGGUUCUCCCCGAAAGCUAUUUAGGUAGCGCCUCGUGAAUUCAUCUCCGGGGGUAGAGCACUGUUUCGGCUAGGGGGCCAUCCCGGCUUACCAACCCGAUGCAAACUGCGAAUACCGGAGAAUGUUAUCACGGGAGACACACGGCGGGUGCUAACGUCCGUCGUGAAGAGGGAAACAACCCAGACCGCCAGCUAAGGUCCCAAAGUCAUGGUUAAGUGGGAAACGAUGUGGGAAGGCCCAGACAGCCAGGAUGUUGGCUUAGAAGCAGCCAUCAUUUAAAGAAAGCGUAAUAGCUCACUGGUCGAGUCGGCCUGCGCGGAAGAUGUAACGGGGCUAAACCAUGCACCGAAGCUGCGGCAGCGAACGUAUCACUUAAAGCGAUUCAGCGGGUUACGAUUGACGGAGCGAAGCGACGUCAAAGCGUAUACAAAGUCGAGUCGGUUUAAGG
rnacentral:rRNA from 1 species